AUUGAACGCUGCGGCAGGCUUAACACAUGCAAGUCGAGGGAGCGGCGGACGGGCGAGUGAUGCUUAGGAAUCUGCCUAUUAGUCGGGGACCACAUCGCGAACGGGAUGCUAAUAACGCAUAAUAAUAGACGAGCAUAAGUCGGAAUAGCUAGUUGGUGGGGUAAAGGCCUCCCAAGGCGACGAUCUGUAGCGGGUCUGAGGGGGUGAUCGGGCACACUGGGACUGGGACACGGCCCAGACUCCUACGGGAGGCAGCAGUAGGGAAUAUGGGACAAUGGGGAGAACCCUGAUCCAGCCAUGCCGCGUGUGUGAAGAAGACCUUAUGGUUGUAAAGCACUUUAAGCGAGGAGGCGUUACUCGCAGAAUAAGCACCGGCUAACUCUGUGCCAGCAGCCGCGGUAAUUC
rnacentral:rRNA from 1 species